ACUUGGGGCCACGCCCCUGGCGGGAGCCUACAAAUUCCAGCUUAGAGCCGGGCGAGGAGCUACCUGUUGGGGUAGGGUCUCGCGUGAGCGCGAGCUAACGCGGGCGGGCGGCCGCCUGGGACGACCCUGUGUGCCAGCUGCAGUCCGCUCCCCUCACCAGCACCGGCCCCGCCAGUUCCCUGGGCGGUGUCCGCUGGGAGGUCUCCGGCGGGAACCGUCACUCCGCCCAAGAUGCCUCGUGCCAGAACGCGGCGGUGGGGACCUGGAGAGCGCGAGACUCGUCCUGGAGAAGCGCGAGACUCGUCCUGGAGAGCGCGAGACUCGUCCUGGAGAAGCGCGAGACUCGUCCUGGGGAGCGGGAGACUCGUCCUGGGCCAAUGCUGCUCUCACAGGCGCAGGAGAAGCCAGGAGCUACUUCCAGCCACUUAAAUCCUGUGCUCGCCUUUAUUUUGUCCCUCACAGUGGAGAGAUAAACAAGCAGAAAUCUACUAGCAAGCCAGCUGUCUACCCCUAGUGAAAAACACAAACGAACUGUGAUACACUCACGAAAUGGAAUUUUACCUGCAUGAAAAAUCCUCAGAUCACAGCUGCAAGCAACAAUCCGGACAAAAGGAGGAAAAGCAAGUAACUGCAGAGGAGAAACCUGGGGGUCAGUGUGAGUACCGGCGGCGGUGAGUCACAGUGGCAGCAUGGCCCUUGAUGUGGGUGACGAGGAUGGCCCUUCACCCAGGAGGUCUUCCUCCCCAACGGGCACCCUCACUCCAACCGUGAGAAACGCACCAGACCGACCCAAACUGACCUGUGCUCUACAGAACACCAGACCAAUACACCCCAAAGUCGUCAAGAUCAUCAAAAACAAGGUGUAUUGGAGGCCUCAGUGUCCAUGGACCACCCCACUGCUGCCUGGGUUCAGGCUGUGCAGCAUGGAUUUGGAAAGGACCUGGAUGAAGAUUUUGGCCAACUCAGUGUGAUUGUUCCGGGUGACCAGCCCUCCCGACUGACCCCUGAGUCAUCAGCCUUCACUCACACAGAUGCAGAAGCUGGCAGACGCUCUGACUUCCCCUCUAAGGCUGCCCACUCAGUGCUGCUCACGAUGAUGGCUGUCUCGCUUAGCUCCUGGCUUGUGUCUUGGGAGUGGAAUUUAGUCUGUUAUCUGAAUUACAAUUACAAGGAAAAAAACAUGCAAAUAGAUGUGUAACAUAAAGUGAGGGGUUAUUUUUGAAAGUCACCCAGCUAGCUUCUACGGUCAGGUCAUUGAUGAGAAACCAUACACUUGUUUGUGAAAGAUUGUUCCAGAAGCAUUGGAAAUCCGAGUAGGAAUAAAUCAGAUUAAUUUUCAAAAUUCACAGAGAUAAACUUUUCAUUAUGAAAUCGUGAAUGUUCUCUUCUAUUUAAAUUCAGAUGUGGUUAGCUCCUUUUAGAUAUGUUACAAUAAUAAAUAGUAGAC